CCUACGUGUGGCAGCAGUGGGGGAUAUUGCACAAUGGGGGGAACCCUGAUGCAGCGACGCCGCGUGAGCGAAGAAGUACCUCGGUAUGUAAAGCUCUAUCAGCAGGGAAGAAAAUGACGGUACCUGACUAAGAAGCCCAGGAUAAAUACGUGCCAGCAGCCGCGGUAAUACGUAUGGGGCAAGCGUUAUCCGGAUUUACGUGGUGUAAGGGGAGCGCAGGCGGCCUGCCAAGUCUGGUGUGAAAACACGGGGCCCAACCCCGGGCGUGCAUUGGAAACUGGCGGGCUGGAGUGUCGGAGGGGCAGGCGGAAUGCCUAGGGUAGCGGUGAAAUGCGUAGAUAUUAGGAGGAACACCGGUUGCGAAGGCGGCCUGCUGGACGAUGACUGACGCUGAGGCUCGAAAGCGUGGGGAGCAAACAGGAUUAGAUACCCCGGUAGUC
rnacentral:rRNA from 1 species